rnacentral:rRNA from 1 species
GCAUCGAUGAAGAACGCAGCGAAAUGCGAUACGUAAUGUGAAUUGCAGAAUUCCGUGAAUCAUCGAAUCUUUGAACACAAAUUGUACUUCUCAGUAAUCUGAGAAGUAUGCUUGGUUGAGGGUCAUUAAAAUAACAUUCGUGAAUUUUUUCGCGGAUUUGAGUUUUCCAGUAUUCAUUAUAAAUAAAUGUUGGUAACUUUAAAAUUAUUUAUAACUUGGUACAAGUUGAAAACGUGCUAUAUGUGUGGUUCGCUGACAACUUGUCCAUCUUUAUAUAUUAUGCGCGUGCUUGGCUUUAAAGUUUUGUGCGAGUAUAUAUUUUUUUUAUGACCUCAGCUCAAGCAAGAAAACCCGCUGAACUUAAGCAUAUCAAUAAGCGGAGGA